GACGAACGCUGGCGGCGUGCCUAAUACAUGCAAGUUGAGCGCUGAAGGUUGGUACUUGUACCAACUGGAUGAGCAGCGAACGGGUGAGUAACGCGUGGGGAAUCUGCCUUUGAGCGGGGGACAACAUUUGGAAACGAAUGCUAAUACCGCAUAAAAACUUUAAACACAAGUUUUAAGUUUGAAAGAUGCAAUUGCAUCACUCAAAGAUGAUCCCGCGUUGUAUUAGCUAGUUGGUGAGGUAAAGGCUCACCAAGGCGAUGAUACAUAGCCGACCUGAGAGGGUGAUAGGCCACAUUGGGACUGAGACACGGCCCAAACUCCUACGGGAGGCAGCAGUAGGGAAUCUUCGGAAAUAGACGAAAGUCUGACCGAGCAACGCCGCGUGAGUGAAGAAGGUUUUCGGAUCGUAAAACUCUGUUGGUAGAGAAGAACGUUGGUGAGAGUGGAAAGCUCAUCAAGUGACGGUAACUACCCAGAAAGGGACGGCUAACUACGUG
rnacentral:rRNA from 1 species